rnacentral:tRNA from 1 species
GGAGAGGAUGACUCUGGUGGCUCGACUGGUCUUCAAAACCAGUAGAGGGCGGAUAACACCGUCCUUGGCAGGUUCGAUUCCUGCCCUCUCUGCCA